CCUACGGGUGGCUGCAGUCGAGAAUCAUUCACAAUGGGGGAAACCCUGAUGGUGCGACGCCGCGUGGGGGAAUGAAGGUCUUCGGAUUGUAAACCCCUGCCAUGUGGGAGCAAAUUAAACAGUAAGUACCACAAGAGGCAGAGCCGGCUAACUUUGGGCCAGCAGCCGCGGUAAUACAGAGGUCGCAAGCGUUGUUCGGAAUCAGUGGGCGUAAAGCGUGCGUAGGCUGUUGCGUAAGUCGUGUGGGAAGGCCGCGGGCUCAACCCGCGGACUGCACAUGAUACUACGUGACUAGAGUGAUGGAGAGGGAACCGGAAUUCUCGGUGUAGCAGUGAAAUGCGUAGAUA
rnacentral:rRNA from 1 species